rnacentral:rRNA from 1 species
UUCGGAUUGUAAACUCCUGUCGUUAGGGACGAUAAUGACGGUACCUAACAAGAAAGCACCGGCUAACUACGUGCCAGCAGCCGCGGUAAAACGUAGGGUGCAAGCGUUGUCCGGAAUUACUGGGUGUAAAGGGAGCGCAGGCGGGAAGACAAGUUGGAAGUGAAAACCAUGGGCUCAACCCAUGAAUUGCUUUCAAAACUGUUUUUCUUGAGUAGUGCAGAGGUAGAUGGAAUUCCCGGUGUAGCGGUGGAAUGCGUAGAUAUCGGGAGGAACACCAGUGGCGAAGGCGGUCUACUGGGCACCAACUGACGCUGAGGCUCGAAAGCAUGGGUAGCAAACAGGAUUAGAUACCCUGGUAGUCCAUGCCGUAAACGAUGAUUACUAGGUGUUGGGGGAUUGACCCCCUCAGUGCCGCAGUUAACACAAUAAGUAAUCCACCUGGGGA